rnacentral:rRNA from 1 species
GACAGAGGGUGCAAACGUUGUUCGGAAUUACUGGGCGUAAAGCGCGUGUAGGCGGCCCUGCAAGUCGGAUGUGAAAUCCCACGGCUCAACCGUGGAAGUGCAUUCGAAACUGCAGGGCUAGAGUCCUGGAGAGGAAGGUGGAAUGCUUGGUGUAGAGGUGAAAUUCGUAGAAUAUCAAGCGGAACACCGGUGGCGAAGGCGGCCUUCUGGACAGUGAC